AGCUAAUAGAUACCCCGGGUAGUCCACGCUGUAAACGAUGAUGACUAGCUGUCUGGGCGCUUAGCGUUCAGGUGGCGCAGCUAACGCGUUAAGUCAUCCUCCUGGGGAGUACGGCCGCAAGGUUAAAACUCAAAGAAAUUGACGGGGGCCUGCACAAGCGGUGGAGCAUGUGGCUUAAUUCGAAGCAACGCGCAGAACCUUACCAGCGUUUGACAUGCCAGGACGGUUUUCCAGAGAUGGAUUCCUUCCCUUACGGGACCUGGACGACAGGUGCUGCAUGGCUGUCGUCAGCUCGUGUCGUGA
rnacentral:rRNA from 1 species